AUGAACGCUAGCUACAGGCUUAACACCUGCAAGUCGAGGGGAAACGACAUCGAAAGCUUGCUUUUGAUGGGCGUCGACCGGCGCACGGGUGAGUAACGCGUAUCCAACCUGCCCAUCACUUGGGAAUAACCUUGCGAAAGUAAGACUAAUACCCAAUGACAUCCCACGAAGACAUCUGAAUGGGAUUAAAGAUUUAUCGGUGAUGGAUGGGGAUGCGUCUGAUUAGCUUGUUGGCGGGGUAACGGCCCACCAAGGCAACGAUCAGUAGGGGUUCUGAGAGGAAGGUCCCCCACAUUUGAACUGAGACACGGUCCAAACUCCUACGGGAGGCAGCAGUGAGGAAUAUUGGUCAAUGGGCGAGAGCCUGAACCAGCCAAGUAGCGUGCAGGAUGACGGCCCUAUGGGUUGUAAACUGCUUUUAUAAGGGAAUAAAGUGGGUCUCGUGAGACUUUUUGCAUGUACCUUAUGAAUAAGGACCGGCUAAUUCCGUG
rnacentral:rRNA from 1 species